GAGAUUCAACAGACAUAAAAUAGAGUUGCAUUGUUAUAUGAGUUUGUAAUUUUAUGUACUAAUCUCUAUGAAGACUUGUAAGAAACAGUUCUUGCAGCAGUGCAGGUCUGUGGAACUUAUGUUGAAUACAACUGGACCAGGUAAUGUGUCAAAGUAUUUAUUUCCUGGAUGUUUUGAGCAAAAUUCACGUUUGCUCUUUCUCCCAUUGGUUGUUGCUUUAUAAUAUAUCUUCUCUCUUCCCCUUAAAGGGCUGAAAUGUUCAUAAAUUUGUGUAGACUUUUGUUCAGGCCAGAUCUGCCUACCCUUCUGACAUGUUUAGAUAUUCUUCAAAGAAUACUUUAUUGCUUGAGAGGGAGGAUUUACUGCUCCAUAAAGAAAUAAUAAUAUGUGCUAACAGGUGCAUUGCUUGCUUUUGUAUUCAGUUUAAAUGCAUUGGCUUUUUUGACAGAUGAACCUUUGAUAACACCAGUUACUAUUUCUUCUUAACUUUCCUUGAAACGUAAAAAAAUGUUCCACUUAGAACCAAUAGUGGUAUGUUUACAUAAAGUAGUGGGCUUGGGAUCAGUUUCCUCUAAAUGAUUGGGACUUGCUUGUCUGUUGUGCUCACCUGAAAAUUGAGCCUCUGUCUCUGAAAACUCAGUAGGAAGGCUUUUUCUCCAGAAGCAGAAAUAUAAGAAAACUAAUAUUUCAUUAAAUAUAAGAAAACUUUCUGUCCCACUGCAGAGCAGGCUGAAAGAUGUUGUUUUAUUAAUUAGAGUGAGGAGCUUAAUAGGCUACUGCCAAGUCUGGCAGGUGAGUCUCUGCACCUUCUAAGGGUGCUUUCUAACUUGUAAGACUUUGAAUCAUAGACACAUACACUGAAGGCCAAGAAAUUAAUUUAUCGCCUGAAAGAGAUGGGGUGUUACAGGCCUCUUUUCAGAAGAAUGUCUUGUUCAUUAUUCAGAACAGUAGUAUAUAUAGAUUUUGGUUAGCCCACAUCUAAGUUAAUUCUGUGUACCAUCAUCUCGUAAGCAUCAGCAAUUUACAAGUUUUCAGGAAAUUGAGAAGCAAUGAAAUACAUAAACGUCUAAUGCUCUGCUGAACAUGACUAAAUCUCCUUAAUGGCUUUGAGGACAGUUCAGUAUUUUCCCAUUUCUCUGUAUAAUCAUUAAAAGCAACACUUUUCACAGUGCUGGACAACACAUACAAAAGGAUUGAAUCAUGGACUGAAUCUGUUUUAUUCUAUGACACAUUCCAACUAUUUAUUGAGCAAAAUUCUGAUAACUUUGUUCAUCAUUCAACCAUUUAAACUGGAGUUAUAGAGUUAAGGGCAUGAGAAGGUAUUCAAGCUUUUCAAAUGUAAUUAUUUCACAUGUAAGAGUCUUUUCUCAAAGCAUUUACCUGAAGAGAAGUUGAUUUUUAAAGUCAUUCUAUUGUUUAAUUUUUUCCAAAUGAAACAUUUUAAAAUAACAUCGUAUUUCCUUAUUUUGUCUCCCUACUAAUUAUAAAGGCAUGUUCUACCUCAGGUCUGCUGAUGUAACUACUAAGCAUUAGUCAGAACGGUGUAAGAAUAUUCUACUUACCACAACCAGGAAAAGAAGAAUGACUUCAGAGAUGACUCCCUCCUGAGAUGGCAUUGAAAUGAGUCCACGACCACAACAAAAUCAUGGAGAAAGUUUCUUCCGGUAAACAAGUUAAAUUGUUCAACUAUCUUCAAAGCCAUGGAAAUCCACUUUCCUAGAAAUCUUCACUGGGAAGAGCAUAUAGAUCUCAGCCAUCAGAGCAUCACAGAUAUGGGGACAAAGACCCAAUGUUGCUAACCUCACUGGAGAAGUUGAGCACCAAGGACAAUCCUAAAGAAUUAAUUAAAGAUCACACAGAGAUGUGUGGAAGGCAGCAGAGCCAGUUCUUCCCAAGUUUCUUGGUGGAAGCAGAGGAUGAGGAUGCAGAGGGGCCGAGGAUGCCAGCCCUAAUCUCAAGAAGCCAUGUGAUGAUUGCAAACGGAGGGGACACAAGAUCUGCUCACUCAGAUCCACAGGUAAAUCAGGAAUGGAGGGGAAAUUUGAAGAGGACCGUUGGUGAAAUUGGAGUCAGAUAGUAGUUUCAAUUUGGAGUCCUUACUGGGAUAUAACUACUCCUUGGGCUGACUUGCACUGGAGAAAUGUCCGUUUCCUCAGCAUCUUAUUAUUUUUAGU